rnacentral:rRNA from 1 species
CCAACAAAGGUCCCUAUCUGUUGGGGCCGUUAAGGCUUGGUUUCGCAGAGUUACGCGUGAAAUUCACCGCCUGGGGAAUACGGGCGCAAGAGUAAAACUCCAAGGAAUUGGCGGGGACCCCCCCCAGCGGGGGAUGAUGGGGAUUAAUUCCAUGGAACGCGAAAAACCUUUCCUACCCUUGGCAUGUCUGAAAUCUCGAAAAAAUUUGUGAGUGCUCUCCAGAAAACCGGAACACAGGUGCUGCUUGGUUGUCGCCAGCUCGGGUCGUGAAAUGUGGGGUUAAGCCCCGCAACGAGCGCAACCCUAGCCAUUAGUUGCUACGCAAGAGCACUCUAAUGAAACUGCCGUGGACAAACCGGACCAAGGUGAAGAUGACGACAAGUCCUCAUGGCCCUUAUGGGUAGGGCUUCACACGUCAUACAAUGGUCGGGACAGAGGGAAGCCAACCCGCCACGGGGAGCCAAUCUCAAAAACCCGAUCGCAUUCCGGAUCGCAUUGUGCACUUCAACUGCGCUAAAUGAAAAUCGAUACUAAUCGCGGAUCAAAAUGUAAUGGUGAAUACAAUCCCGGGCCUGGUACACACCGCCCGUCCCACCAUGGGAUUGGGUUUCACCACAAAAAAAAUAACCUAACCUAAACGAGGGCGCUUACCUUAGCGCUAUUCGUUACUGGAGUGAAGUCAAAACGAGGCAACCGAAACCGG